rnacentral:rRNA from 1 species
UGCCAGCCGCCGCGGUAAUACGAAGGGGGCUAGCGUUGUUCGGAAUCACUGGGCGUAAAGCGCACGUAGGCGGACUGAUCAGUUGGGGGUGAAAUCCCAGGGCUCAACCCUGGAACUGCCUUCAAUACUGUCAGUCUUGAGUCCGAGAGAGGUGAGUGGAAUUCCUAGUGUAGAGGUGAAAUUCGUAGAUAUUAGGAAGAACACCAGUGGCGAAGGCGGCUCACUGGCUCGGUACUGACGCUGAGGUGCGAAAGCGUGGGGAGCAAACAGGAUUAGAUA